UCAACCGCAAAGGAAUGGUCAUAAAAU
rnacentral:sRNA from 1 species